CAUUGACUUCAAUGUUAAAAUUUUUGCACAAAAAGUAAAAAAAAACAAAAAGUAUAAAUGUUAGAAAAGUGAAAAGUAAUAGCAAACGUGUCCUGAAGGAGUGGAAUAGUUUAAAGUUUGAACGGUUGAAAUCGCACAAACUGGGAAGGAGUUGAAAGCGGACGAAAAACGGCGGAAGAAUAAUAAUAAUAAUAAUAAUAAUAAUAAUAAUAAAGAAACGGGAGAAUAACAAUAAGUGGAAAUGCCUAUCAGCAUUUCCACUUAACUAGAAAAAUUGCAUUUCCUUGCAGAAAAUGCGUGGAAAUGCUGAGUGCUGAAAGCUGAAAAAGCAAUGCUAAACUGCUAAUAAAACAUGGAGAAAGGUAUAAAUGUUAAAGCUGUUGAAGGGGUGAAAAAGAAAUAUAAGUUGGAUAAUUGUUUAAUUGGUCGAAGGACAAAUAGUCUGAAUAUGCUCUAUAAAAGGAAAUUUUAUUCAUGCUGAAAGAGGCUAGAAAAAUGUGUAAAAUUGCACAAAGUUUGAAUGAAGAAGGAAACUGCCUUAAAAGGCAGGAAGGUGAGAAGUGGCAUAAGUUUAAGUUUUAGUACUAAAAGUAGUAUAAGAGGUCAAGGCGUGAUACUAGUAGUUAUGUCAGCAGUAGAAGUAGAUUGAGGAUAAAAGAAGUAUAAGUCAAAGUAGUAAAGAAAGUAGAAAUAGUAGCAAUAGCAGUUGAAGUAGAGGGGAAAGUACUAGUUUAAUUGACAUUAGCAGUAGUUGUAGUACUAAAGGUGGGAUUUUUUUAUUAAAGGAUGGAAUAUUGCAUAAAUAUUAAAACCAAUUUAAACAGGGAAAAUUUAAUUAAUUAAAAAUCCUCAAGUAUCAGAAAGUUUUUAAGUAUUAGAAAGGUUUGAAUCAGUUUGAAUGAGUUUAAAAUAGUUUGAAAAAUUAAAUGAUAAAUCAUCACUGAGUGACUUUAAAAUGUGAAAAAUUUAAAUCAAUAUAAAUCCUGAAUACACCCCAUAAUGUCCUCAAUGAGCUUAAAUUUUAAAGCCCUGAAUGGUUUCUGUAGGUCAAAGGUCAUGUGAGGAGAUAGGGGCUGAAGUUUUUUCAAGCGCUCUAGGAAAGGGUUUUAAGUGUCAUCCCCAGUGCUAUGUGUACUGAGCCUGGCUUCAUGUGUCUCAUUUGGCCAUUAGAAGCAGCUUUCCAGUCAGCUGUGUGUCUCCAGGUGCACAAUUGGUUGCCAUGGGGACCUUGGAUGCAUAACUAUAGCAGGAGAAAGAAGGCUUGAAGCUAAGGAAACAGGACUCCAAGUAGGCCCUGACGCUCAUCCUCUGUAUCUAUUCCUGAUAAGGAGCUUGUGAGAACACAAGACUCUGCUAAACACAUUAAUACAAUUUAUUAUCACAAUCCUCAAAACACCCCAUAAUAUCUUCAAUGAGCUGAAUUUUUGAAGCCCAGAAUGGUUUCUGUAGCUCAAAGUUUGUGGGUGGAGAUAGGUGGUGAAGCAGACACAUAUUAACUGUGUGUACAAGCAGCUGAACUGCAAGGUGGACCUCAAAAAGCAACAAGUACAAGAAUGUGUGUGCGUGUGUGUGUGUGUGUCUCGUUAAUGACUGCAUCCUAAACAGCUGUGAGAUCAAAGGCAAAUCACUAACCUACUGUUUGACUGAGAGGUGCUGAACUGCAGUGAAUUUCAGCCUGUGAACUUCUUCACAUAGCGUGAUUUCCUUAAGUCCCAGAAUGAAAAUAAGAACAUCGUACGAAUCCUCCGUCCUUCAUGAACACAAUGAUGUGUUUUUCAUGUCUGUACUUCGAAAAAUGAGGCCACAACAGCGAGUUAAAAAAGUCUGAGCUUGAGCGAUGAUCCGGAUUUUCUUGGAGAAAAAUAACAUUAAAGUCAAUGGGAGAGAUUUCCGCCUUUUUUGGACAGUUGGUCACCUGCUGGCCAAGGGGUACGAUUUAAUGAUUUGAAACCUCUUUUGUGAGAAGCAGGACACAUAUACCUCCAUUUUGAUGUAUUAUUUGUGUCAGUGGAGUGAGAUUUGUGGGCGUGGGAGCGAUAUAUUCGAGCGAGGUUCUGUCGAUCAGAGACGAGGUCUGCACUCUAGCUGAUGACAUCAUCACUCUAAACUCUCCAAUACACACCCAUUAUAAAGCUUGAAAUUUGCUGAAAACCACAAGUUGCUUAAAGCUAAAUUGUGGAAAAACUGUAAAAGAUAUCAAAAAACUGAGUACAACUUUAAUAGUCGACAAGACAAUGAACAUUUUAAAGCAAAAAUGAGGUCUCUAGGUGAAAGUAUGCUGAAGUUAUAAGGUCUAGAAGGUGGAAGAGGAAAAGGUAGAUUUUAAGAUUUUCCCAUUCAUUUCCAAUGGUACAAAUUUUGCACAAAAAGUUAAAAAAAACAAAAAGUAUAAAGGGUAGAAAGGAAAAAAAUACAAGCCCUCAUGUCCUGAAGGAGUGGAAUAGUUUAAAGUUUGAACGGUUUAAAUAGCACAAAAUUUGAAGGAGGAGAUAGCGGACAAAAAUUGGCGGAAGAAUAAUAAUAAUAACUAGAAAA
rnacentral:lncRNA from 1 species